GACGAACGCGGGCGGCGUGCCUAAUACAUGCAAGUAGAACGCUGAAGAGAGGAGCUUGCUCUUCUUGGAUGAGUUGCGAACGGGUGAGUAACGCGUAGGUAACCUGCCUUGUAGCGGGGGAUAACUAUUGGAAACGAUAGCUAAUACCGCAUAACAAUGGAUGACUCAUGUCAUUUAUUUGAAAGGGGCAAAUGCUCCACUACAAGAUGGACCUGCGUUGUAUUAGCUAGUAGGUGAGGUAACGGCUCACCUAGGCGACGAUACAUAGCCGACCUGAGAGGGUGAUCGGCCACACUGGGACUGAGACACGGCCCAGACUCCUACGGGAGGCAGCAGUAGGGAAUCUUCGGCAAUGGGGGCAACCCUGACCGAGCAACGCCGCGUGAGUGAAGAAGGUUUUCGGAUCGUAAAGCUCUGUUGUAAGUCAAGAACGAGUGUGAGAGUGGAAAGUUCACACUGUGACGGUAGCUUACCAGAAAGGGACGGCUAACUACGUGCCAGCAGCCGCGGUAAUACGUAGGUCCCGAGCGUUGUCCGGAUUUAUUGGGCGUAAAGCGAGCGCAGGCGGUUUGAUAAGUCUGAAGUUAAAGGCUGUGGCUCAACCAUAGUUCGCUUUGGAAACUGUCAAACUUGAGUGCAGAAGGGGAGAGUGGAAUUCCAUGUGUAGCGGUGAAAUGCGUAGAUAUAUGGAGGAACACCGGUGGCGAAAGCGGCUCUCUGGUCUGUAACUGACGCUGAGGCUCGAAAGCGUGGGGAGCGAACAGG
rnacentral:rRNA from 1 species